rnacentral:tRNA from 1 species
AGGCGCAGUGCGGAUAACAGAGGACUCAUAAUCCUUUGGUCGUUGGUUCAAGUCCAACACGGCCUACCA